AUUCAUUCGUGUUUCGAUAUUGAUAAAAUUGUAUAUGUUUAGACGAUAAAUAAAUUGAAUUAUCUAUUCUAUGGUAAUUUUUGAUUUAUAUGUUGCUACAUAUUUAUUUUCGAUCUGAUGUUGAACACGUGCAUUUUUCUUCUGGUAGGACGUUGCGAUCCGUUAGGAAUAUCUAUCGAUCUAUGAUGUUUUGUGGUUUAGUUCAUUGAUACAUUUAUGAGAAAAAUUUUUUUUUUUUUUUUAUAUAUGCAUAUAUUGAUGAAGCCAUACAAUCUGAUCGAUUUACUUGACGGUAAAAUUAUGGUUAAAAGUCGCUAUGCUACUAAGCAUUAGCGUUAGAAGUUGGACAAGUGUAUGAAUUGUGUAACCAGCAAUGUCAUUAUUCAUAUUCAUAUGGUAGUGAUAGUGUUCUCGGUAAUCGGUAUUUAUAUCAAUUCCGAGCCGUUUAUACACUGUUAGUUUAGCAUAUCUCUAACAGACUUUAUUAUUAAAUUUUUUUGUUUUUAAUGAAACCAAUCAGCAACGCUAUAGCUUUGGGUACUUUCAGGACCCGUCUUGAAACACGGACCAAGGAGUCUAGCAUGUUCGCAAGCCAUUGGGAUAUUAAACCUAUAGGCAUAAUGAAAGUAAAAAUCAUUUUAUCUUGUAUGAAAUGAAGGGAAGAUAAAUGAUGAUAUAAAAUAUUUUUAUCGAUAUUAUAUACGUUAUUUCGCAUUCCCGGGGCGUUUAAAUUUCAUUUAUUUGUUUACACAUUUGAAUGAGAUUAUGCGCACCAAGAGUGUACACGCUGGGACCCGAAAGAUGGUGAACUAUGCCUGGUCAGGACGAAGUCAGGGGAAACCCUGAUGGAGGUCCGUAGCGAUUCUGACGUGCAAAUCGAUCGUCG
rnacentral:rRNA from 1 species